CGUCCUGAGCCCAGCCUGUGCUGACCCAGCCACCUGCAGUGCAUGCAUCUGUGGGGCAGGUGGGUACCAGCUCCUGCACUAGAAGCAGCAGCAAUGUUGGGCACGGGCAUGUGCUCUGGUACAAACAUGCCUCCGAGAGACCCAGAGCUCCACAUAUAUAAAAGCAGUCAUUGACCCUUAGGGGCAUAGGCCCAAUGCUGAGGCUCCAGGUUGGAGAACAUGGCCUCUCUGAGCAUCUCUGGACUCCAGGCAGAGGAAAAGGCUGAUUUUUAUUCUCAGCUUGGGACACAAGCACCAAGGCUCA